rnacentral:rRNA from 13 species
AAUAUAAAAAAAGGAGUGAACUGAAACAUCUAAGUAACUCUUAAAAAAAUCAAACGAGAUUCUGUUAGUAGUGGCGAACAAACACAGAAAUGAUUUUUUAAUUUAUCUUGAAUUUUUAACCAUAGAAGGUUUGUGUCCUGUAAAGAUUAAAAUUAAAAUAUUUGAAGUAGGGCAAUUUUUUUUGUCUGAAUAUUGGGGAACCACCCUCAAUACUAAAAAUUUUUGGUGACCGAUAGUGAAAAAGUACCGUGAGGGAAAGGUGAAAAAAGCUCUUUAAGAGUUGAAAAGAUCUGAAACUUGUUAUUAACAAACUGUUGAAAUUUUUUAAAAUAACAGCGUACCUUUUGCAUAAUGGGCCAGUGACUUUAUUUAAAUGGCAAGCUUAAGUAAAAUUAUGGAGGCAUAGAGAAAUCGAAUAUAAAAAGUGUUCAUUAGUCAUUUGAAUAAGACCCGAAACUGAGUGAUCUAACCAUGAGCAGGCUGAAGAUAAACUAGUAAUAGUUGUUGGAGGGCCGAACCCGUGUAUGUAGAAAAAUACUGGGAUGACUUGUGGUUAGGGGUGAAAGGCCAAUCAAACUCAGAGAUAGCUGGUUUUCCGCGAAAUCUAUUUAAGUAGAGCGUUUUUUUUUUUUUAGUGGGGUAGAGCUCUCGAUAAGCUAGGGGGAUUUUUUAUCUUACCAAAUUUAAUGAAACUACGAAUACGCUUAUUAAAAAUUAAAGCAGACAGAUAUUGGAUGCUAAGGUCUUUUAUCAAAAGGGAAACAGCCCAGAUUAAUUGUUAAGGUCUUAAAUAAAUAUUUAAGUGAUGAAUGCAGUAAUUAGACUAAUACAGUCAUUAGGUAGGCUUGGAGGCAGCCAUCUUUUAAAGAAAGCGUAACAGCUCGUUGAUCUAGUUUUUUUGCGCUCAAGAUGUAUAGAGACUAAAAAUAUUAACCGAAACAGUAAACCUAAUUGGUGGUAGCGGAACGUUCUAUAUUUUUAUGAAGAAAUGCUGUAAAGUUUUUUGGAAAAAUUAGAAGUGAGUAUACUGGCAUGAGUAGCGAUAAACGGUGUAAAAACAUCGUCGCCGUAAGUUCAAGGGUUUUGAAGUAAAGCUAAUCUUCUUCAAUAGAAAUCGUAUGAUUUCGUUAUAAGACGGCCCCUAAGGUAGUAAACCAAUGUUUACGCUAAUGGGUAAUUUUUUAUAUUUUUCUAAACACAGUGACAAAAAUUGAGGUUUAUUAUUAAUGUAUUUAAUAGUUUAUUAAAUUUUUCAGGAAAUAGCUAAAAAAAAACCGUACUUUAAUCCGACACAGGUGAACAGGUUGAAUAAACUAAGGCGCUUGAGUGAACUUUGUUGAAGGAACUCGGCAAAAUAAUCCCGUAACUUCGGAAAAAGGGAUAACUUUAUAAGGGCAACCUUAUAAAGUUGGCACAUAAAUGGGGGUAGCAACUGUUUAGUAAAAACACAAGUCUCUGCUAAUUUGUAAAAAGAUGUAUAGGGGCUGACACCUGCCCGGUGCUGUAAAGUAAAUAAAUUGUUGUUUUGGCUUCAAUUAUAAACUCCAGUAAACGGCGGCCGUAACUCUGACGGUCCAAAGGUAGCAAAAUUCCUUGUCGGGUAAGUUCCGACCUGCAUGAAUGGUGUAAUGACUUCCCCACUGUCUCCAACAAAGACUCAGUGAAAUUGAACUACCCGUGAAGAUGCGGGUUAUUUGCAGCUAGACGGAAAGACCCCGUGCACUUUUACUAUAAGCAUAUAGUGUAAAGUUUUUAUUUUUGUGUAGAAUAGGUGGGAGCUAUUUGAAGUCGUUACGCAAGUAACUUACUUAAGCUUUUAUGAAAUACCACCCUUUUUUAAAAACUUUACUAACUUUAAAGGACAUUUUAUGCUGGGUAGUUUAGCUGGGGCGGCUGCCUCCUAAAAAGUAACGGAGGCGUGCAAAGGCAAACUCAAACAAUAUUUAUUGUUUUAGAGCGUAAUGGUAUAUGUUUGCUUGACUGUAAGAUUGAUAAAUCAAGCAGAGAUGAAAGUCGGCCAUAGUGAUCCGGUGGUUCUUCGUGGAAAGACCAUCGCUCAACAAAUAAAAAGUACGCCGGGGAUAACAGGCUGAUGCCUCUCUAGAGCUCUUAUCGACAGGGGCGUUUGGCACCUCGAUGUCGGCUCAUCUCAUCCUGGGGCUGGAGCAGGUCCCAAGGGUACGGC